rnacentral:rRNA from 1 species
AGAACGAACGCUGGCGGCAUGCCUAAUACAUGCAAGUCGAACGAACUCUUCGGAGUUAGUGGCGCACGGGUGCGUAACGCGUGGGAAUCUGCCCCUUGGUUCGGAAUAACAGUUGGAAACGACUGCUAAUACCGGAUGAUGACGAAAGUCCAAAGAUUUAUCGCCAAGGGAUGAGCCCGCGUAGGAUUAGCUAGUUGGUGAGGUAAAGGCUCACAAGGCAACGAUCCUUAGCUGGUCUGAGAGGAUGAUCAGCCACACUGGGACUGAGACACGGCCAGACUCCUACGGGAGGCAGCAGUAGGGAAUAUUGGACAAUGGGACGAAAGCCUGAUCCAGCAAAUGCCGCGGUGAGGUGAGUAGAAGGCCGUUAAGGGUUGUUAAAAGCUUCCUUUUAACCCGAGAAUGAAUAAUGACAGUAGUCGGGAAGAAAUAACGACCCCGGCCUAAACCGCCCGUCGCC